rnacentral:rRNA from 1 species
UGGGGAAUUUUGGACAAUGGGCGAAAGCCUGAUCCAGCCAUGCCGCGUGAGUGAAGAAGGCCUUCGGGUUGUAAAGCUCUUUUAGUCGGAAAGAAAGAGUUGCAAUGAAUAAUUGUGAUUUAUGACUGUACCCUCAGAGAAAGCCCCGGCUAACUACGUGCCAGCAGCCGCGGUAAUACGUAGGGGGCAAGCGUUGUCCGGAUUUACUGGGUGUAAAGGGCGCGCAGGCGGGAUAAAAAGUCAGUGGUGAAAUCCUACAGCUUAACUGUAGAACUGCCUUUUAUACUUUUAUUCGUGAGUUCGGGAGAGGGAGACGGAAUUCCAGGUGUAGUGGUGAAAUACGUAGAUAUCUGGAAGAACACCAGUUGCGAAGGCGGUCUCUUGGUCCGACACUGACGCUGAGGCGCGAAAGCGUGGGGAGCAAACA